GACGAACGCUGGCGGCGUGCUUAACACAUGCAAGUCGAACGGUAAGGCCCUUCGGGGUACACGAGUGGCGAACGGGUGAGUAACACGUGGGUGAUCUGCCCUGCACUUCGGGAUAAGCCUGGGAAACUGGGUCUAAUACCGGAUAGGACUCCUGGCUGCAUGGUUGGGGGUGGAAAGCUUUUGUGGUGUGGGAUGGGCCCGCGGCCUAUCAGCUUGUUGGUGGGGUAAUGGCCUACCAAGGCGACGACGGGUAGCCGGCCUGAGAGGGUGACCGGUCACACUGGGACUGAGAUACGGCCCAGACUCCUACGGGAGGCAGCAGUGGGGAAUAUUGCACAAUGGGCGCAAGCCUGAUGCAGCGACGCCGCGUGAGGGAUGACGGCCUUCGGGUUGUAAACCUCUUUCAGCUAUGACGAAGCGCAAGUGACGGUAGUAGCAGAAGAAGGACCGGCCAACUACGUGCCAGCAGCCGCAGUAA
rnacentral:rRNA from 1 species